UUAGAAUAAAACUUAAACGUAUUUUGAGCUUGUGAUAACCACGGACCUUAUUUUAGGGGAUUUAAUCAAACUCCCAUUCAAAAAAUUCCAUUGACUCUGGGACGAUGGAACCGGAAGUGUUAAAAUGCUAACUCGUUUUCGGGUUUUUUACCUACAAUGUA